CACAGACAGAACUUGACAGCUUUUGCUAAAUAAUUACAUUACAUAUCAGAAAUUGAGAAUCAAAUUACAUGGAGCAUCAGAUGUUUUCAAUAUUUUAUUUUCCAGGUGGAAACUGUUACACAACUGAAGGAGGAGACGGCCAAAUACAAAGCAGCAUAAGAAGUGAUCAAGUCAUCACUUAAUUCUAAGGUAAGUUAGAGUCAUUUUUAUGAGCUAUACAAUGUUCACAAAGCACUGCAAGUGUGGAUAUAUUGAGACAUGCAAAGUACCAUUUGUACAUGAGUUUGGUCCUAACUCAAGUUUAUGGCCCACAAUGAUUCACAUCAUAUAGGUUUAGUAUUUACAAAUUUAUAGGGAGGAAUAAAGGGUUGGCAAUAGUCUUGCUCUUUACAUAUAUACCUGGCUUUUGUUGGUGGCUGCACCCACACAUCACGCGCUACACUCUUACCGUUGGACCAAAGCCUUGUGGGCUUUCUAUUAUAUAUAUUCCAAUGGCUUGACCACUCUAUUUGUUUUUCCACUUCCUAAUUGUUAUUUAGGAGAAUAGAGAUGUGGUUUUAUAGGUUGCUUGCCCUUCUUACUUCCUUGUAAAUUUAUCCAAUUUAAUGCAUAUUUGGAUUUCAAAUCCUUACUA